GAGGGUAUAGCUCAAGUGGUAGAGCACAUGCCUAGCACGCAAAAGGUCCUGGGUUCGAUCCCCAGUGCCUCUA
rnacentral:tRNA from 1 species